rnacentral:rRNA from 1 species
UGGGGAAUAUUGGACAAUGGGCGAAAGCCUGAUCCAGCCAUGCCGCGUGUGUGAAGAAGGUCUUCGGAUUGUAAAGCACUUUAAGUUGGGGGGAAGGGCAGUAAGCGAAUACCUUGCUGUUUUGACGUUACCGACAGAAUAAGCACCGGCUAACUCUGUGCCAGCAGCCGCGGUAAUACAGAGGGUGCAAGCGUUAAUCGGAAUUACUGGGCGUAGAGCGCGCGUAGGUGGUGCGUGAAGUUGAAUGUGAAAGCCCCGGGCUCAACCUGGGAACUGCGUCCAAAACUGGCGAGCUAGAGUAGGGCAGAGGGGGGUGUAAUUUCCUGUGUAGCGGUGAAAUGCGUAGAUAUAGGAAGGAACACCAGUGGGGAAGGCGACCACCUGGGCUCAUACUGACACUGAGGUGCGAAAGCGUGGGGAGCAAACAGG